rnacentral:rRNA from 1 species
UACGGAGGGUGCAAGCGUUGUUCGGAAUUAUUGGGCGUAAAGCGCGUGCAGGCGGCUGCGCAAGUCUGAUGUGAAAGCCCCGGGCUCAACCUGGGAAGUGCAUCGGAAACUGCGUAGCGUGAGUACGGGAGAGGGAAGCGGAAGUCCGAGUGGAGGGGUGAAAUCCGUAGAUCGUCGGAGGAAAACCAGUGGCGAAGGCGGCGUCCUGGAACGAUACUGACGCUGAGACGCGCAAGCGUGGGGAGCCAACAGGAUUAGAUACCCCCGUAGUCC